AAAAAUGUGAGACAAUGCCCUCCACUUCACCUUUUCUCCUCCCAUCCUUUUGCUGAUAACAUCAAUGAAUACCUGGAGGACAUUGAACUAAGGGGUCCAAGGCUGCAAAGAGACCCAGCCUAUGAAAUUUACUACAGCUUAUGGUCCUCAGAGCCGUGGAGUAACCAUGCCAUACGAUGGAGUCUUUCUAAGUCUAGGUGAAGGAUAUGGCCUGCGACCUGAGAAAGGAGACGAGGUAGAAGAGGAAGAAUGUGUGGUUGGCACACCACCAUUCUAAGAAAGUGUAUAAAUGCCCAGGGACUGCAAUAUUGCCCUUGAGUGUGUGGAGGGACUCAUCUGUUUUUGCUGCAAAGAGUUUAGGCCCUUUGAAUGGAAG